UGAACGCUGGCGGCAGGCCUAACACAUGCAAGUCGAGCGGAAACGACAACAUUGAAUCUUAGGAGGAUUUGUUGGGCGUCGAGCGGCGGACGGGUGAGUAAUGCCUAGGAAAUUGCCUUGAUGUGGGGGAUAACCAUUGGAAACGAUGGCUAAUACCGCAUAAUGCCUACGGGCCAAAGAGGGGGAUCUUCGGACCUCUCGCGUCAAGAUAUGCCUAGGUGGGAUUAGCUAGUUGGUGAGGUAAUGGCUCACCAAGGCGACGAUCCCUAGCUGGUCUGAGAGGAUGAUCAGCCACACUGGAACUGAGACACGGUCCAGACUCCUACGGGAGGCAGCAGUGGGGAAUAUUGCACAAUGGGCGAAAGCCUGAUGCAGCCAUGCCGCGUGUAUGAAGAAGGCCUUCGGGUUGUAAAGUACUUUCAGUUGUGAGGAAGGGGGUAACGUUAAUAGCGUUAUCUCUUGACGUUAGCAACAGAAGAAGCACCGGCUAACUCC
rnacentral:rRNA from 1 species